AUCGCUCCGGAUGCACCACCUCCACUAUUUCUCCUCUUAAGUUUACUUGGCCUGGAUUUAUAUGUGUUGUGUUUACUCACGAUUCCUGUGUUUGAUUAAUAGUUCUUAUGGAGGCUAUACUACGACGCACUCAUAGCUGGCUUGCCUGAUUAUUGCUCCGGCGACCGAGCUAUGUGGAGCUCUUCUGUCCCACUAAUAUGUCUCAAUAUUGUUGAGCAUCAUGCCACCGAGCAAGUACUUUGCCAGUUUGGUUGACCGCAGCUUGUACCUAUUCCGCCCGCUUGGCUUAGGACACAUUACCGGCGGGAUGAUUGUUCUAGAGUUGACCAAACACACUUGGACUGACUAUAUGCCCAGAUUGAGAUUUGGGACCAGAGGUAUGACCUGAUUCUGCCACCCCCUCUACCUAAGCGUACGUAUGGAGAGCAUGAGUAAAUGGGCUGGUAUCGCAGUGUUACCCGACUUCUCGUCGGGAAUCCCGUUCAUCGCGCUGGUGGUCGGUACAUUCCAUAUGCCGGGAGGCAUGAGGCACUGGCUAUUGGCUUACAUCAGUUCUACUAGUUGGGACUGCAGAUGCUGUAGCAUACCGGUGAGGGAGCGACAACUUUGCACGAGUAUGGCCGGUAGGUUACAGAUCUGGCUGCCCAAACAUUGAGGCAUGCCCGAGAUGAUGAGCGAUUAGGAUACAAGGCUGCUUAUGUGCCGCCAGAGGAGUACCAUCAUGGGCCACCAGUGGAGCCUGAACGUGGUAGACGUGGAAGGCGUGGCCAGAGAGGAAUGAGUGUCCCACGAGGUCGUGGUGGUCGGCGAGGACGGGGUCCCCAGCAAAGGGGCGUGGAGGCACUCGUGGAGGAUAUUAGAGAUGAUCAGCCCGGUGACAACCCCUGAGCCACACGAUGCUCCUUAGGAUGUGCCGUCAUUUAUCCUUCAGCUAUCGCCAUGGACUUCGCAGUUGACCUCGUCAGCUUCAUUGUUGAUCGCGUGCACGUCCAUUAUGCGACAAGAGUGGGAUCAGUAUUUUCCUGAUCUCCCAAAGCCAUCGACGGUUGCCGAUGAUCGUCCGACAUGAGAUGUGCAUAGUGGGCGACGACUGAGUUAUGACUCUUCAUCGAGGAAUGCUGAGAAUCUAGCACAUACUCCAUCUACUCUACUAUACCUUGAUGUUCCGACAGAGCGUUGCGGUGCUACUCAGGCGCAAGUUUGUUUGUAUUACUAUUAUUUCUAUUUGUUUCUAUCUCAUUGAUUAGUCAAUAAUAUGUAAAGCAUUUUUAUGUUUUUUAAAGACAUCGACAUCGCCCGUCGCGGAGGCCGCAUUGUGCGAUACUAAGAUGCCAGAGACGGAUGAUCUAAUUCAGGAGCCCGCUGAACCAUGGUUACUACCGGCCCGACGACCGCUUCUACCGAGUCUGCAUACCUUACCGAUGAUCAUGCUGCAGCGCAUCCUCCGAUAAAGAGGAAACGUGAUAAGGAUGAUCCUGAUAGCGUAUCCGGGCGGGAUGGGAUGCACCUCAGUCCAGCCAAUGCUUUAAAGCAUACAGGAUGUGGGACACAUUGACAUUUAU